ACCUCAAUCCCAUGAAGAAUAAAGAGAGGGUGACGGAGAUUUCAGACCCAGGGAGCGUGACGGGGAAGAGGGGGAGAGCAUGAAUGCAACCCCCCACUAGCACAAAUUAUGCAGUGGAGUUUCCCACAUUUGGGGAAAUCUCAGGGGUCAGCACAUCCGGAGUGCAAUGGGUGAGCCUCGCCCUGGGAAAACCACCUUCUAGAUCAUGUAUCUCUCCUUCUAGUCCCAGGCACUGUGGGAGCCACAGGCUUCAGUGCAGACUUCAGUGCCAAGUCCAAGAAUGACACCACCUACAGCCAGCCCCGAAAAUGGCACAGAAACAGCAUCAAGAAACCUCAAUCACAAAGAUAUGAAUCUCUUAAAGGGGUAGACCCCAAGAUCCUAAGAAACAUGUACUUCUCCAAGAAGCACAAGAAGGGCCUGAAGAAGAUGCACACUAACUAUCAAGGCCCUGGUAGAGCCCAAGAAGGUCAAGCCCAAGAUCCCAAAGAGCAGUAGCUGCAAGCUUAAUUGACUUGUCAACAAGCUCACCCCAAGCUCCUGGCCUCAUCACCAAAGGUCUCAGAUUCUGCAGGCCAGAGUGCAAGUUAAGGCUCAAACCAAGCCCCAGGCUGCAGCUGUGGAUGUUGCAGCUCCAGCUCAGGCUCCCAAAGGGGAGGCCCUCAGGAAGGCUCCACAGUAGAGGCCUCUAUCUGCCAAUGAGGAUGAAGGCCUGGUGUGACCUCUGGGCUGCCGUCUGCAUGGAGCUGGUAUCCUCCUGUGCUAUUUGUACAAAUAAACCUGAG